rnacentral:rRNA from 1 species
GAAAAAUAUAUAUCCUAAACGGUGGAUCACUCGGCUCGUGGAUCGAUGAAGGACGCAGCAAACUGCGCGUCGAAUUGUGACUGCAGGACACAUGAACAUCGACGCUUCGAACGCACAUUGCAGCCCACGGAUUCUGUUCCCGGGCUACGCCUGGCUGAGGGCCGGC